AACUUCUAAGACCUUCAUCCUCAUCUUUGGAAUGCAUUAAUGCUGGGUGUUUCAUCUUUCCCCUUUGGCUUAUCUGACAAUGAGCGGGAUUUUAGCUUCCUGGUGUGCAGAACCAUCCUCGACUGCAAGUUUAAAGUUUUUCAUGCUGUAUCAUCGUCUUUUGAAACGUGCAAGCCAGCCUGCACCAGCUGAGAAGGGUUUAACAUGUUCCUGACCCUGGGUUACGUGACUGUAAAUUUCUUUGGCUUUCAGCCUCACAACAAUGCUUCCCACUAUACUUUUUUUGUUGAUCAUCAUCUCAUGAAUCCACAAAUUUAGCUGCUUUUCCAUCUUUUCCAUGGCUUCGUCACGUACUACAGAUGUUACUUUAGCGCUCUCUGGAGCAGCCUCACUCACAGACCUGCGAAUAUCUUCUUCCUUUUUCUGGAUGUAUCAUAUUGUUGACUCAUUAACAUUGAACUCACGGCCAACAGCACUAUAACUCAUGCCAGAACGGAGCUUACUUAGCACACGAAUUUUUUCUGUAAGACACAUCACAACUUUCUUACGCUUAGGAAUGCUAGGCAGCACUUUAGCACUACUCUUGGAGGCCAUUUAAAACAGCAAAAUCACCAAAUGAAGGUACAAAAAUCAAAAAAACGUUUCCUAGACUGGGUAAAGGAUAUUGUUUAUAGUGUAAAUGAUAUUGUUUAUAGAGAACUAACAAGAAAGCAGAGCAUGGCCUUCUUCAAGUCCCACUGGGACAUGCACACAAAUUGAUUAGAGUUUCUCACUGCUCUGCACUUGUCCAUAAAUGCCUGAGAAUGUGCCAUGAGUAUUUGUUUUGUGAUUACAUAUGUAUGGGU